rnacentral:rRNA from 1 species
GGGAGGCAGCAGUGGGGAAUAUUGCACAAUGGGCGCAAGCCUGAUGCAGCCAUGCCGCGUGUGUGAAGAAGGCCUUCGGGUUGUAAAGCACUUUCAGUCAGGAGGAAAGGUUAGUAGUUAAUACCUGCUAGCUGUGACGUUACUGACAGAAGAAGCACCGGCUAACUCCGUGCCAGCAGCCGCGGUAAUACGGAGGGUGCGGGCGUUAAUCGGAAUUACUGGGCGUAAAGCGUACGCAGGCGGUUUGUUAAGCGAGAUGUGAAAGCCCCGGGCUCAACCUGGGAACUGCAUUUCGAACUGGCAAACUAGAGUGUGAUAGAGGGUGGUAGAAUUUCAGGUGUAGCGGUGAAAUGCGUAGAGAUCUGAAGGAAUACCGAUAGCGAAGGCAGCCACCUGGGUCAACACUGACGCUCAUGUACGAAAGCGUGGGGAGCAAACAGGAUUA